rnacentral:lncRNA from 1 species
UUUUUAGCGAUUUUAUGCUUAUUUUGCAUUGUUUUGUAGCUAAUUUGAGAAAAAUAAAGAAUGGAGUUGAAGAUGAAGGUCUUAGACUCAAGAAAAGGAAAGAAAGGUUGAAGAUAUGCAGAAAAGUCAAUCAGUCAACCAGAAAAGUCAACCAGUCAACCAGAACGCAGUUGACUAGCGCCGGGCGGUUGACCGUGGCACCGGGCGGUUUCCCU